rnacentral:rRNA from 1 species
GACGAACGCUGGCGGCGUGCUUAACACAUGCAAGUCGAACGGAAAGGCCCUGCUUUUGUGGGGUGCUCGAGUGGCGAACGGGUGAGUAACACGUGAGUAACCUGCCCUUGACUUUGGUAUAACUUCAGGAAACUGGGGCUAAUACCGGAUAGGAGCUCCUGCUGCAUGGUGGGGGUUGGAAAUUUUCGGCGGUUGGGGAUGGACUCGCGGCUUAUCAGCUUGUUGGUGGGGUAGUGGCUUACCAAGGCUUUGACGGGUAGCCGGCCUGAGAGGGUGACCGGCCACAUUGGGACUGAGAGACGGCCCAGACUCCUACGGGAGGCAGCAGUGGGGAAUAUUGCACAAUGGGCGGAAGCCUGAUGCAGCAACGCCGCGUGCGGGAUGACGGCCUUCGGGUUGUAAACCGCUUUCGCCUGUGACGAAGCGUGAGUGACGGUAAUGGGUAAAGAAGCACCGGCUAACUACGUG